rnacentral:rRNA from 1 species
GAUGAACGCUGGCGGCGUGCUUAACACAUGCAAGUCGAACGAUGAAGCCCAGCUUGCUGGGUGGAUUAGUGGCGAACGGGUGAGUAACACGUGAGUAACCUGCCCUUAACUCUGGGAUAAGCCUGGGAAACUGGGUCUAAUACCGGAUAGGAGCGUCCACCGCAUGGUGGGUGUUGGAAAGAUUUAUCGGUUUUGGAUGGACUCGCGGCCUAUCAGCUUGUUGGUGAGGUAAUGGCUCACCAAGGCGACGACGGGUAGCCGGCCUGAGAGGGUGACCGGCCACACUGGGACUGAGACACGGCCCAGACUCCUACGGGAGGCAGCAGUGGGGAAUAUUGCACAAUGGGCGCAAGCCUGAUGCAGCGACGCCGCGUGAGGGAUGACGGCCUUCGGGUUGUAAACCUCUUUCAGUAGGGAAGAAGCGAAAGUGAGGGUACCUGCAGAAGAAGCACCGGCUAACUACGUG